GACGAACGCUGGCGGCGUGCUUAACACAUGCAAGUCGAGCGGAGCGGCGAACGGGUGAGUAACGCGUGAGUAACUGCCCCCCUCUCUGGGAUAACAGUUGGAAACGGCUGCUAAUACCGGCUAGUGGGGGAUGACUCGCGUCCUAUCAGCUUGUUGGUGGGGUAGUGGCCUACCAAUGCGAGGACGGGUAGCCGGCCUGAGAGGGCGACCGGCCAAAGUGGGAGGAGAGACGGCCCAACAUCCGACGGGAGGAAGGAGUGGGGAAUAUUGCACAAUGGGGGAAACCCUGAUGCAGCAACGCCGCGUGCGGGAUGACGGCCUUCGGGUUGUAAACCGCUUUCAGCAAUGACGCGGUAGUGGCAGAAGAAGCACCGGCUAACUACGUGCCAGCCGCCGCGGUAAUAC
rnacentral:rRNA from 1 species